UUUUUUUUAAUAUUUCCUUAGAAGCCUUAUAUAAUUAUUUACAUUUGUGCAAAAUUUCAUCACUUUAUCAUUAGUAACAAAAAAAGUUAGGGAUUUUUGAUUUUUGUAAAAAAAAUUGAUUUUUGUAAAAAAAAAAAAAUGAAAUUGUGAUUUUUAUUUACGAGUUUAAUAUUAAUUUUUUUUUUUAUAAAAAAUAUUUCCUUAGAAGCCCUAUAUACUACUCUACAUUUGUGCAAAAUUUCAACACUUUAUCUUUAGUAACAAAAAAAUUAUUGAUUUUUGAUCUAAAACGGACCUUUAUUUUUCACUGUGCGGUGUGAAGCAAUCACUCCUAGACACAAGUUAACUUUUUGGAAAUUAACUUUUUCUAACUCGACUUCUCCACAGAAGUGAGGAGUUAUUUGCACAAAAUUGUGCAAAAUAAUUCCACACUUGUAUCUAUGAGUGAUAGCUACACACCCAAUCAGCAGUACAUUAAUGGGCCAGAGCUGGCAAGCCAGGUCCGGCAAAACACAUGAUCCAGUUAAGGGCCUUAGCUGGCGAACCAGAACUGGCUUGCCAUUACCGGACCAUAAGUGUAUCAUUAAUGGCUCGCCAAAAGUACAAAAAUGCAUGGCGCAAAAUAGAUGAAAAUUUUACGGAGAGAAAAAUAUAUUUAUGUUUUCAUUCAAGUAUAUAAUUUUCAUUAUAUCACAUCCUGUAUAUUUAGUAAUCUUGGUUUUAGUUAUAAGCUAUUGGUCUGAAAGAAAAAAAAUUAAAGAAGUUAAAAUUAUUUUAUUUUAACUUUUAUUUAUUAAUUUAUUUGUCCAAAAUCAAUCAAGAGAAAAUGGUUAUUGAUGGAGCCUAUAACUAUGAUUACAUAGGUAAAACUGGGUUUGAUUUUCCUCAGCCUACUGACGCGUUGCCCAAAACAGUCGUUCAAAGCAAUUGCAAAAAACAUGGGUUGAACACUUCAGAUAAUGAACCUUCCAACACCACUGCUCUGGAUAAUAUCCUCAAUAUUUCUUAUCAAUUGAUAAUGAAAUUAGUGAAUUUAAAGCUUUAUCUGAUAACAAUUCAGAUAAAAAUGAUAAAAAUAUUGUCAUAUAUGAACUAGAGGGUGAUUUAGCAUUUUAAUCUUCUCAGCAUAAUAUCACACAAGAAUUCACUGAUUUAAUUUGCUGAUCUAUGACCAGAGCUGCUUAAAUGAGUACAGAAGUAACCUGAUGAAAAUUAUGAUAGUGACUCUCAAGAUUUUAAUGAGCAUCAAGAAUUCAAAAAGUCUGCAGACACCUGUCUCUGUCUGCAGACACCUGUCUCUGUCUGCAGACACCUGUCUCUGUAUUGAAUCAAAGUAGAACAAGAUUUAAAAAAGUGAUCAUAUUUACCUCUGUGAUCAAGGUGAAGGGAGUAGCAGCAAAAAGGGAAGUAGCAAAAUAAUUGAAUUGGACAGGGCAAGGUGAUCUUCAUAAAAAGUUAUUGAAACUCCACAAACACAAAAAGCUGGAAAAAAGGUUCUAUAAUGGAGUUAUGCGCACAUUGACAAUUGUAUAUAUGGUUAUCAAACCUAUCUGUUGAUUGCCCAGUUCUACAACUAGAAAUGUGCCCAUUAGUGCGAAGUCAAGCAAUACGAAGAAAUUUGCUGACAAAAGAUACCACAUACAGCGAAAUUUAAAAGGCAGUUGUGGCUUUUUUUUUCUGGAGCUCAAGACAGAAAUAGAAGUAGAAAAGAAAGAGCAGAAAAAAAGUCCAUCCAAAAAACCAGUUCAUCAAAAAAUCGUAGCUAUACUGCCCAAUUAUUGACAUUGAAACCUUUAUCUGGAUUAUCAUUACCACGAUUUGAACGCUUUAUUUUUGAUGAAUCUGACAAAGUAUAAUGUUCUCAAAAUCUUGCAUGAUCUGUUUUAUAUGUUAUAUUUUAUAUUAAUUGUAUAUUUGACAUUAUUAUAAGCUUUACAAGUAUUUAUGUUAUUAAUUAUAAAUUUAAUGCAUUUAUUUUUUAUAUAUUUUUAUGUAAAUUUAUUAACUUGUAAAUUAU